rnacentral:tRNA from 1 species
UGGUAAUUAGUUUAAUUAAAACAAAUGAUUUCGACUCAUUAGAUUAUAAUAAAUAUUAUAACUACCAA